rnacentral:lncRNA from 1 species
ACGGUCCAAAAUCCUCAUGAAGGUUAAAGCCAAAAUCCCUCAGCCCAGCAGCAUCUUCACAACGCACGACAGCUGGAAUUGUGUGAUUCGUGACAUCGCAUCCGAAUGAGGAAAAUGACUGGCACACUGUAAAGCAUCUGAUAUUAUUCCCCCAAGAAGAAUGCUGCAACAGAACAACAACAAUAACUGCUUGGACAUGGCCCAUAGGGAGCUACUGCAUGAAUGCCGAAGAACCAAUGUCUCAUUCGCCAGUGCCCUUGAGUUUGGAGCCAUACCCCUGAUUAAAGGCCUGAGAGCAUGGGCUGUGAGUGGCGGCUACUCUAAAGCCAGACGAAAGGCCGCUAAUGGAUCUCGGGCACAGGGCACAUGCCAACAGCCUCCUGAAAACAGGCUAGGGCAGAGAAGCUGGUCAGGUCAGGUCAGCAGUGGCUAUGGGCACACAAUGGAGAGCACAAUUAGUGCAACCAGAACUCCAGGGGUCAGGCAAGGCGGUCUUGGCGCUCUUGUAACUGUGGCCACUUUGAAGGGCACUGAGGGGGGUGGUAGGCAGACUCAGACACGCUGCCUCUUUCUCAAGGCCCAGGGCAGGGGCAGCUACAUCUGUGCUGUUGGAAACCGCGGGACUGGGACGAGAGUCACGGCUCCACGGACUCACGCUGUCAUUCUUGAGGGGACAAAGGAAGAGCUUAGAUGUUCCUCUAAAGGGCAGAAGGUGAGCCAGGAUGGGCCAGACAGUGGUGGAUUGUUCAAGGCCAAGCCCAGGGCCAUACGAAAAUGGAGGAAAUGCGGUAAAACAAUGGAGAAAAGAACAGCGGCUCAUGGCAAAGGGGAAAACACUAGUCAGCGCAGUGACCAAAAAAGUUCAGUGAUUUCAGAUGCACAACCACUUAACAUAACACAAGGCCAGACGGGUAGCUAUCCAAGUCAGGACGACUUGAAGUUGAAGGGCAAAGACAAAAGGGCUCAUUCCCCCAUAUUAGUGAAAGCUGUCACACCCAAGAGCACAGAUCCACAAACCUGCUGCUCUUCUGCCAAACCAUGUGCCAAACCAGGUGAGCAGGUUGAAGAUGAGAUGAGCCUUAAUCAAUCCGAUAACUGUUCUGAAAAAGAAUUCAGUUGUGCCAAUGUGCAAGGAGACACUGAGGUCAGUAAAUGUGACCUUGAUGCAAAUGAUCGCCAGAACUUUGUUGCUGAUGUGCCAAACCUAGGGUCAUCUGUAGCAUCUGAGACUCACUCUGAUAGUCUAAGAAUCAAAUUGACCACAACAAACUGUAAUACUGAGCCAAGCAUGGAUCAUUCUCCCAUGAUAACUCCCUCCGAAGUCCCUAUCAGCAUUCAGAAGAAUCAAGAAUCCAGGCCAGACGAGCGCCUACUAGACCGUGAGAAUCUACACUCGGUGGAGCCCGGCGAUCUUGCAACACAGAGAGAUGGGACUCCAUACACAAAGAAUACAGUUUUGCCGGAGGACCGCACUCCAGUGGGUGCUGAAUGUAGCACCACAGAAAAGAAAAGUAGGCCGUCCAUGUGCUCACCUCAGCAUUGGGAGGAAUUAAUCACAAAGCAUGGAGAACAUGAAGUUCAGCAGUCUGACAAAUCCUCUUCACGAGGCUUUAGCGCAACAACAGCCAAUAUAACUGUAACCACUAUUCACUCCCUGGUUAAUCCUGCCCCUACCACCACCACAGCCAUAGCAACAGCCAUCCCAGCAUUAAGCGAGGCGGAGGCGGGGGCUAGAGGUGGAGACUUGCUGCCUCUGGUGAACUCAGAGUUGCUAUCAGAGCCAGCAAGAGUUGACGACAAGGACAAGGUGGCCGCUGACGAGGGGUCUCUUGAUGUGGGCGAGGAGGAGGAGGAGGAGUUUGGGGCAUUCAUGCAGGCAGGUGGAGAGCAGCUGUGGACGGAUGGGUUCAGUGAGGUCCAACAGUUGGCUGAGGAUUACAACUGUGAGGAACACACAAGUUCUGCUGAUGCAAAUGAACCCGCAUCCUGGGCAUCUGAUUGGACUGCAGUCCAGUCAUUCCAGCAGUCAGAGAGCACAUGGACUGCCUUCAGCCAGGAGACUGUGGAGCAGAAGAUAGUGCCUGGUGGCCAUUGGUGGCCUUCUACCGAAAAACCAAACCUUCCUCUCUCUCCUCUCCAUAAUGUGUCAAAUGUGUUUCUAGAGGCCUUUCCCUCAGAAAAGUCCCCCUGUGAAGAUCCUGAAUACAUUCCUACACUAAAGCAGCUUCUGCAAGGACCAGCUGAAAACAGCAAUACAGGGGAGCACAAGUAUGUUGUAUUAUCUGUAGUUUUGCUGCACUAAUUAUGACA